rnacentral:rRNA from 1 species
GUUUGGUUAAGUUAGAAAGGGCGCACGGUGGAUGCCUUGACACUAGGAGUCGAUGAAGGACGGGACUAACGCCGAUAUGCUUCGGGGAGCUGUAAGUAAGCUUUGAUCCGAAGAUUUCCGAAUGGGGAAACCCACUAUACGUAAUGGUAUGGUAUCCUUACCUGAAUACAUAGGGUAUGGAAGACAGACCCAGGGAACUGAAACAUCUAAGUACCUGGAGGAAGAGAAAGCAAAUGCGAUUU